GGCAGCCUGGGUGGCUCCCUCUCCCUCAUGGAGCUACCAACACCUGCGUCCCCCCCCCCCUUCCCAACUGUGCUACUCCAGACCCCACACACCUGGGGUUCCAAACCUGGGCUCACGUGGGGGAUGGACAGAUCUGCGUGCUCUAACGCUGGCGGCCGGGCAGGGCAGCGGGGCCCAGCCGGCCGGGGCGCGCGUCCCUGGGGUUGCGCUCCGGUCCCCGGCUGUGCCUGGUGCCUGCGCCCGGCCCCGGCCCCGGCGCGCGUUCGCAGGGCUGCGGCGGCGGGGAGGCUGCGCGCCGAGCGCAAGCCGCGAGCACAAACAGGGCGAGGAGGCUGGUGUGAGCGCCUGGGCCUGGUGCCAGCGCGCCGGGGCUGGAACACAAUGUCCCGAGCGGGCGGGCGAGCGGGGAGCGAGAACAGCCUGACUCAGCAGCUGGUCAGGAGGUGCCUUCGCUGUUGUCGGUUCCAGCCUUCUACCUGACGUAUGAAGUCUCUCCAUGGUGUCCCACGUCAGUGAUUGUUCUGAAGCUGUUUGCACACCUAUAGUGACAGGGACACUCUCUCGCAAGGCAGCCCGCUGCCCUUCUGGACUUCCCUAUCUCCAAGUCCAGUCACCUACAGGACACCUGCCCUCACAUGGCCUAGAAGUGACUGAACUCAUCCUCAUGUCCCUCAUACUAGCUCCUCCCUAUUGCCCACCGUGACUCUCCCAACCCCCAAACUCGCCAUGAAAGUGGAUUAAUUUUUAACUAUUUUCUCUCCUUCACCAUCCUAUAUCUGAUCUAUUACCAGAUUCUUCCUUUUGCUGCUUUUAUUACAAGAUGUACUGUUGGUUAUUUUUCUCAUUCACCCCUUCCUCUCCAACCCCAAAGAUUCCACCUCGGGCCCAAAAUCCCACAGCGGCUGCCACACUGUCCUUUCUGCCCGAGGUUUUUCCUUCCUCCUACACACCCUGCUGGAAUAAUCUUUCUCAGACAGUUUACUGUGUAUGUUAUCAACUUCAGACUCGUCAGCCAGGCACACUGGGUACCCCAGCGGCUAAUGUGUGUGUCCCAUAUGAAGAGACUGGGACUCAUUCAUGGUGUGCCCAGACCACAGAGUCCAGCACAGGGCCUGCUGCACAGCACGAGGGCAGCAGACACUUCUCAAGUGGUUGUGCUCCUUUCUCAUCUUUCCAGUUCUCUUUCCUGACUUGGUCUCCCCAUUCCCAUCAAGCCUGUUGGCUUCCUGCUGCUCACUCAGGCCCUUUUGUUUUAAGGAGCCACUAUUCUUUAUUCCCCAAAAUCUUCAGAGUGGGGUGGGGAAGGGAGAAGCUGAUAUCCAAGUUAACAGCGGGGGUUUGUGCCAAAUACCAACUGCAGAGACCUUGAGUGCAGAGUGAAUGAGUGCAGCUGCCUGCCGGGAGCCUCUGCUCUAGGAGGAAACAGAAAACCACUGAGGAGGGUGGAAGGCAGAAAGGGGGAUAUGUGCAACCGGUGGCUUUGGGGUUUAUAGAGGGAUCUUCUUGCCACUGGAGAUUCCAGCCUGCCUAGCUCUGGGACCCUGGUCUGAUGCCCUUAGAUUGUUCCCUUCCUUGGCGUCACAUCUCACACACACACUCAGUGAUGCUGGCCCCAUCACCACCUCAUAACCCAGCACAAAAUCCACCUCCUGCAGGAGGCUCUGAUCAUCUCCAUCUGACUUGGGUCAUUUUGUCAUCAACUUCCCCCUGAGCCUUAUGAGCUGUCUUCAGUCUUUUCUCUAUUUUAUUGCUUAGUUGUAUCCUCUAGUAUUUUCAACCUGCCAGAUUAUAAGCUCCUCCCUGGCAGGGACAGUCUCUUAUUUAUUGAUUUAAUAUCAUCGAUUUAUUUUGAAAAGGAAGCAUGAGAUCAGGCCCUUGGACUUUGGAAGCCACAGAGACCUGGGUCUGGAACCUUGCUCCAACACUUCACUGUUUGGCCUUGGGCAAGUCUCUUAACCUCUCUGAGACAGCUUCUUCAUCUGUAAAAGGUGCUAGUGAUACUGCCCUUGCAGAAGGCGAGGCGAAGGUUACAGAAAAUACAAAGUGCCAGGAAAAUGCCUGUAGCAGAGCCAGCAGAUGAUAGCUGUCUUCCUUCCCUGCCCCACUGGAGCCUUCCCUGAACUGGCAGACAAGGUUCCUUAACUAGCCCCCAUACCGGGACACUUUUCAGCGUGAAAAGGGACACUAUU
ensembl:lncRNA